rnacentral:rRNA from 1 species
CUACGGGUCGCUGCAGUGAGGAAUAUUGCACAAUGGGGGGAACCCUGAUGCAGCAACGCCGCGUGGAGGAUGACGCAUUUCGGUGUGUAAACUCCUUUUAUAUGUCAAGAAAAUGACGGUAGCAUAUGAAUAAGCACCGGCUAACUCCGUGCCAGCAGCCGCGGUAAUACGGAGGGUGUAAGCGUUACUCGGAAUCACUGGGCGUAAAGGACGCGUAGGCGGGUUGGAAAGUCAGGUGUGAAAUCCUACAGCUUAACUGUAGAACUGCACUUGAAACUUCUAAUCUAGAGUAUGGGAGGGGGAGAUGGAAUUAGUGGUGUAGGGGUACAAUCCGUAGAUAUCACUAGGAAUACCUAAAGCGAAGGCGAUCUCCUGGAACAUUACUGACGCUAAGGAGUGAAAGCUUGGGGAGCAAACAGGAUUAGAUACCCGCGUAGUC